rnacentral:tRNA from 1 species
GAGGGUAUCACUCAAUUGGUAGAGUGCAUGCUUAGCAUACAUGAGGUCCUAGGUUCAAUUGCCGGUGCCUCCA